AGAUUGAACGCUGGCGGCAUGCCUUACACAUGCAAGUCGAACGGCAGCGCGGGGCAACCUGGCGGCGAGUGGCGAACGGGUGAGUAAUAUAAUCGGAACGUACCCUGGAGUGGGGGAUAACGUAGCGAAAGUUACGCUAAUACCGCAUACGAUCUAAGGAUCGAAAGUGGGGGGAUUCGCAAGAACCUCAGUGCUCCUAGGACGCGGCCGAUAUCUGGAUUAGGCUAGGUUGGUGGGUAAAGGCCUACCAAGGCAUCGAUCGAGUACGCUAGGUCUGAGAGGACGACCAGCCACACUGGAACUGAGACACGGUCAGACUCCACGGGAGCAG
rnacentral:rRNA from 1 species